AUUGAACGCUGGCGGCAUGCUUUACACAUGCAAGUCGGACGAGUGGCGAACGGGUGAGUAAUAUAUUGGAACGUACCGAGUAAUGGGGGAUAACCACUCGAAAGAUUAGCUAAUACCGCAUACUAUUCGAGAGGCCCAUAUGGGAUUAGCUAGUUGGUGGGGUAAAGGCCUACCAAGGCGACGAUCAGUAGCGGGUCUGAGAGGAUGAGCAGCCACACUGGGACUGAGACACGGUCCAGACUCCUACGGGAGGCAGCAGUGGGGAAUUUUGGACAAUGGGCGCAAGCCUGAUCCAGCCAUGCCGCGUGUCUGAAGAAGGCCUUCGGGUUGUAAAGGACUUUUGGUAGGGAAGCGUUACCUAAAGAAGAAGCACCGGCUAACUACGUGCCAGCAGCCGCGGUAAUAC
rnacentral:rRNA from 1 species